rnacentral:rRNA from 1 species
UGAACGCUGGCGGCGUGCCUAAUACAUGCAAGUCGAGCGAACAGACGAGGAGCUUGCUCCUCUGACGUUAGCGGCGGACGGGUGAGUAACACGUGGAUAACCUACCUAUAAGACUGGGAUAACUUCGGGAAACCGGAGCUAAUACCGGAUAAUAUAUUGAACCGCAUGGUUCAAUAGUGAAAGACGGUUUUGCUGUCACUUAUAGAUGGAUCCGCGCCGCAUUAGCUAGUUGGUAAGGUAACGGCUUACCAAGGCGACGAUGCGUAGCCGACCUGAGAGGGUGAUCGGCCACACUGGAACUGAGACACGGUCCAGACUCCUACGGGAGGCAGCAGUAGGGAAUCUUCCGCAAUGGGCGAAAGCCUGACGGAGCAACGCCGCGUGAGUGAUGAAGGUCUUCGGAUCGUAAAACUCUGUUAUUAGGGAAGAACAAAUGUGUAAGUAACUAUGCACGCCUUGACGGUACCUAAUCAGAAAGCCACGGCUAACUACGU